rnacentral:rRNA from 1 species
UAAGGAAUAUUGGACAAUGGACGGAAGUCUGAUCCAGCCAUCCCGCGUGCAGGAUGAAGGCGCUACGCGUUGUAAACUGCUUUUGUACAGGAAGAAACGUGCCGACUUGUCGGCACCUGACGGUACUGUAAGAAUAAGCACCGGCUAACUCCGUGCCAGCAGCCGCGGUAAUACGGAGGGUGCAAGCGUUAUCCGGAAUCACUGGGUUUAAAGGGUGCGUAGGCGGCUCAGUAAGUCAGAAGUGAAAGCCUGCGGCUUAACCGUAGAAUUGCUUUUGAUACUGCCGAGCUUGAAUUAGGUUGAGGUUGGCGGAAUGUGACAUGUAGCGGUGAAAUGCAUAGAUAUGUCAUAGAACACCAAUUGCGAAGGCAGCUGACUAGACCUUAAUUGACGCUGAGGCACGAAAGCGUGGGGAGCGA